rnacentral:rRNA from 1 species
ACGGGUGAGUAUCGCGUAUCCAACUUUCCCAUAACUAGGGGAUAAUCCGUCGAAAGGCGGUCUAAUACUCUAUGUUGUCUAUUUAUGGCCUCAUAUUUAGACGAAAGAUUUAUCGGUUAUGGUUAGGGGUGCGUCCGAUUAGGUAGUAGGCGGGGUAACAGCCCACCUAGCCUACGAUCGGUAGGGGUUCUGCGAGGAAGGUCCCCCACAUUGGAACUGAGACACGGUCCAAACUCCUACGGGAGGCAGCAGUGAGGAAUAUUGGUCAAUGGACGAGAGUCUGAACCAGCCAAGUAGCGUGCAGGAUGACGGCCCUAUGGGUUGUAAACUGCUUUUAUGCGGGAAUAAAAUGAUUUACGUGUAUUUCAUUGCAUGUACCGCAUGAAUAAGGACCGGCUAAUUCCGUGCCAGCAGCCGCGGUAAUACGGAAGGUUCGGGCGUUAUCCGGAUUUAUUGGGUUUAAAGGGAGCGUAGGCUGAAUAUUAAGCGUGUUGUGAAAUGUAGUUGCUCAACAUCUGCACUGCAGCGCGAACUGGUAUUCUUGAGUGUGCGCGACGUAGGCGGAAUUCGUGGUGUAGCGGUGAAAUGCUUAGAUAUCACGAAGAACUCCGAUUGCGAAGGCAGCUUACGAGAGCACAACUGACGCUUAAGCUCGAAAGGUGCGGGUAUCGAACAGGAUUAGAUACCCUGGUAGUCCG